GAUGAACGCUGGCGGCGUGCCUAAUACAUGCAAGUCGAGCGAACGGACGAGAAGCUUGCUUCUCUGAUGUUAGCGGCGGACGGGUGAGUAACACGUGGAUAACCUACCUAUAAGACUGGGAUAACUUCGGGAAACCGUAGCUAAUACCGGAUAAUAUUUUGAACCGCAUGGUUCAAAAGAGAAAGACGGUCUUGCUGUCACUAAUAGAUGGAUCCGCGCUGCAUUAGCUAGUUGGUAAGGUAACGGCUUACCAAGGCAACGAUGCAUAGCCGACCUGAGAGGGUGAUCGGCCACACUGGAACUGAGACACGGUCCAGACUCCUACGGGAGGCAGCAGUAGGGAAUCUUCCGCAAUGGGCGAAAGCCUGACGGAGCAACGCCGCGUGAGUGAUGAAGGUCUUCGGAUCGUAAAACUCUGUUAUUAGGGAAGAACAUAUGUGUAAGUAACUGUGCACAUCUUGACGGUACCUAAUCAGAAAGCCACGGCUAACUACGUG
rnacentral:rRNA from 1 species